AGAGUUUGAUCCUGGCUCAGAUUGAACGCUGGCGGCAUGCCUUACACAUGCAGGUCGAACGGCAGCACGGGGGCACCCUGGCGGCGAGUGGCGAACGGGUGAGUAAUACAUCGGAACGUGUCCUGUAGUGGGGGAUAGCCCGGCGAAAGCCGAUUAAUACCGCAUACGCUCUACGGAGGAAAGCGGGGGACUCGCAAGGCCUCCCGCUAUAGGGGCGGCCGAUGGCCGAUUAGCUUGUUGGUGGGGUAAGGCCUACCAAGGCGACGAUCUGUAGCUGGUCUGAGAGGAGGACCAGCCACACUGGGACUGAGACACGGCCCAGACUCCUACGGGAGGCAGCAGUGGGGAAUUUUGGACAAUGGGGGAAACCCUGAUCCAGCAAUGCCGCGUGUGUGAAGAAGGCCUUCGGGUUGUAAAGCACUUUUGGUCGGAAAGAAAA
rnacentral:rRNA from 1 species